GAGAACAGAACAAAGGAGGAUUGC
rnacentral:piRNA from 1 species